ensembl:lncRNA
AAGUAAACAAAGCUGGGGCAUAGAAGCAGAACCGAGUCGUAUGUGUGGAGGGACAGUAACUGUGUGUAUAUGUAAGCAUUUAAACACUGCAGAGAGUAGAAUUAACAGUAACAGUAUUGUGCGGCUUGGCACUUGUGCUGUACGUAACAAGUCACGCGACGUGACGCUGCGGCUGUGAUUGGUUCGGCUCUGCGCUACUGAAUUUGGAUCGGCUGACCUUUUUUUUUUUUUUUUUUUUUUUUUUUUUUUAAGAGGACAAGAGCGGCGAGGUCUAUCGCGAUAGCUUAAUUUCUCUAUCGAGUAAAAGUUAUAUCGCGAUACAUAUCGUUAUCGUUCUAUCGCCCAGCUCUAUAUUGAAAGAAGAACUGACAGCAGGACGCUGCUAAUUCUCUUUCCUUUCCCAUAGAUCCAAUUUUAGGUUAUUUCUCGUCCUUCUUUUACUUUACUCUUUUUUUUUUUUUUUUUUUUUUUUUUUUGCCCGGGUACUUAUUAUUGCUGGCUUACAAAAUCAUGUUGUUCAGUUUUAGAUCAUAAAUACCCAACCAGAAUCAGUUUCUCUUCUGCUGCUAUAUUGCAAAGUUUAAUCCCUUCUUGAUUUUGAUUCGGCAGUGAAAGAGAAGUUACACUGGCUGAACCAGAGGUGCACCACAAGUAUAAAUAUUAUUUGAUAAUGAAAGGACUUUUAUUGCUGGUAAUGUUUAGCUUCUUAGGAUGUGUAUAGAAGAUAUGUUUGUCAAUUCAGAAAUAUUUCUCCUUUUCCUCUCACUUUCGGUCCCCUGAUUGCUGUCCCUUUUUCCUGUAAGCAACAGUCUAGUUUGCAAGAUUUGUAGAGUUCACACAUAAAAUAUAGCAUUUACGCGUUCAGCUUGCUUCACUUCAUAAGUAUUUUUUCCUUUUGUUUCCUCAGAGGUGCAGCUCUGGGCUCUUCUGAGACCAGGGCAGCAAGCAUUAGCACGACAGUUCAAAGCCAUCGCUGGGGGUGGGUUCAGAAGAAAGCACAUAUAAAGAUGUGAUCCAGCCUGGGUGUCAGUAGCACACCUGUGCAUGUGGUGUGAACCACAAAUUACCCCAUCUGAUUGUUUCAGGGAAAAGAGAGGAU